rnacentral:rRNA from 1 species
CGCAGGCGGGAAGACAAGUUGGAAGUGAAAUCUAUGGGCUCAACCCAUAAACUGCUUUCAAAACUGUUUUUCUUGAGUAGUGCAGAGGUAGGCGGAAUUCCCGGUGUAGCGGUGGAAUGCGUAGAUAUCGGGAGGAACACCAGUGGCGAAGGCGGCCUACUGGGCACCAACUGACGCUGAGGCUCGAAAGUGUGGGUAGCAAACA